UUCAUCUUAUAAAGCUGGUUAAGAACAGUCCUUACAGAUUUGUAUGUGAAAUAGUUGAGUAUUUUCUUCUUAACCUCCUCGA